rnacentral:rRNA from 1 species
UACAGAGGUCCCGAGCGUUGUUCGGAUUCAUGGGGCGUAAAGGGGGCGUAGGCGGCGGGGAAAGUCUGAUGUGAAAUCCCGGGGCUCAACCCCGGAACUGCAUUGGAUACUGCUUUGCUAGAGUACUGGAGAGGAGACUGGAAUUUACGGUGUAGCAGUGAAAUGCGUAGAGAUCGUAAGGAAGGCCAGUGGCGAAGGCGAGUCUCUGGACAGUAACUGACGCUGAGGCACGAAGGCCAGGGGAGCAAACGGG